AAUAGUUUUGUCGGUUGAAUUGAUGCAUUGGUUACAGCUUCAGUUAUAUACGAAACACCGUCAAUAACUCUUUGAGCAGUAUUCUGAGAUGCCAGUGAAGCAUUAGCCUGAAAUGAAAUGGACGAAGGCUGCAUCCUCAGGAUUUUUAUUUCCGUACCAAAACUGUCGACUUCUAUAUAUCUCACCACAGUGUGGACAUUCUAUCACGUAUCCAGACCACGCAUACUUGGCGAAUCCAUACCAGCUUGCAUCACUCUGGGUUAGCGUACGACUAGUGACAACGACUUCACUUCCGUUGCCAUGACACUUUUUACAAAUGUAGACCAAGUUUUCAUACUGAUGCUGGUAACGACAUCUGCAAUACAUUAUAUUGUUAAUUAUUUUGCAUAUUCAGAAUUCAUUUGCAAUCAGGUCAAAAUUAAUCAGUAUUCAUUGUUGUUUUUUGUUCCAUUUUGAAGAGUCCAGCAUUCAAAAAUAUUAGCUAGUACUUCUAUAGGAACCUAUCUAAAUUGAGAUUGUUCAUUAUGAAUUUGAUAUGAUCAGUAAUAACGGAAGUAUUUCAACCUGGAAUCACUAGCAUGGGGUUUGCCUUCACGCAGGUGUCCCAUACUGUUGAUGCAUCUACAAUCACAGCUCAAGCACUUGACAGUGCAAGUAAAGUACUGGUCAGGAAAUAGGAUGUUUGACAAGUUUUCAAUUUCACCAGAAAAUUUAUCAUUGAGUAUUUUAAGAGUGCCAUAGACCAGGUGAGGCCUCCUAGCAGAACGAACAGUCGUAUUAUCCAGCUCAUUUUUAAUGGCCCUCCUCAAGGGUUGAUAAUCUGUUGGCGGAUUUGGCGUUUCGACACCAACAUACUUUAUUGAGCUAAACGCUUCAAUUUCCAACCGCAUCUGAUCAAAA